GGUGGCUGAGGGUGGGCUUCUGGUGCCAGGCUGCCACCUGCUAGCUGUGCAGGCCCUGGGUCUGUGAUGUAACUUCUAUAGGCCUCAGUUUCCCUGUGUGCGAGACUCAGGCCAUCAUAAUAGCUCCCUUACAGGUGUCCAAGGAGAUAAAGUGAAGCCAGGAUGUGAAACGUUCAAACAGUGUCAGGGACUUAAUGAGCCCUCAGUAGAUGUGCUUCAGGCCGAGGGAUCCUUUGAAGACCCUUUCUCCACAUAACUUAAGGGGGGGAUACCUGGACAGCUUUUCAAAAUUUGCCCUUCACAACCACAGAGCUGGAGUUUAGAGACCCAUCAGCCUAGGACUGCACACAGUGUGAUCGGCGGAUCGAUCCUGGGAUGAUGUGGUCGGUCAUCGGUUUGUGUCGGCACAGUACUCAUGGAUUAUCCAAUGGAAUACGUUUUUGAAUACUCAGCAAGGGGUGUGAUGAUGACAUGGAGUCAGCAUGAGCAAAGCAGUCCCUCACCGGACUGCAGGCUCUGUACAGGGAAGCAUCAUUUUGUUGUAUGCACCAUUGUAGUUCCAGCCCCAGGAAAGCACUUCUCACUUGAAUACAUUCAUCAAAUCUUUUGAAAGAAUGAAUAAAACAAAUUAGGGCAAUGCAAACUAAUAUCAAUUCCUGUUUUGAUGUUUAUGUUACCAAUUAGGGAGACUACUGGAAUCCACCCAUAAAGUAUACCUGGAUUUCAGCAAGAUAUUAAUCAUUUUGUACAUGAUAUCUUUUAGGGGAAGAUGAGUAUGUGUUAGGUCACAGCUUAGUUACUUUAGAACCUGACCAGUGGUCACUCCAAAAAUACCUGUUGAAAAAAAAAAAAGAAGCCUCUGGAGAGUAGCUGCAUGGCAUGUUGUGGUGCUUCUACUUAAAUCUUCUUCAUUAAGAUGAAUGAAGACAUUCAUAAAUUAGGUGACAGCAGACUUACAGUUCAUACAGAACACAAGGGGCUGAUGGAGUAGAUAGAUUAUAAAAGGAUGAAAUAUUGAAAGAAUAAUGCAAAUGCUUAUUAGCAUCUAGAUUCAAAAAGAAUGGAUUAUUUUAAGAUUUGCGUGGAAUCAGAAAAGACCCCGAAUAGCCAGGGGAAUUUUAAAAAAGAAAACCAUAUCUGGGGGCAUCACAAUGCCA